GUUUGGGUUCUGUGACCCAAACAGACUCUAACAGAACUUUCUUCACAGCCUUUGAUAUUGAUCUGAUAUUGAUAAUCAGAGUUUUAAUGUUUCCGUCGCUCUUCUGUCAGACGGGACGGAAACCUCGGCUCGGUUCCUGAGGUCAGAGGUCAGAGAGGAAGCCGUCCGGUUCUGGUCRGCCUGUGAGGAGAACAGAACCUCUGGUCCAGAAGCCCGGCUGCUGUCCAGAACCUSGUAUGUUUCUAGAGCCGUGGUGGAUCCAGAAGGCGUCAGACAGAGGUUCAGGACAUCAUCUGACCUCUGACCUCCAGCUGCUUCCCUUGUUUCAUUGCUUCAGUCCAUCAUCAGCUGUAACAUCGUUUCUCUCUGGAUGUUUAAUAAAAUGUUUCCAUCACA